AACAAAGAGAGGAGCGGUGGGGCGUGGGGAGAAGAAGAGAGGAAGAAGAGGGAGAAGAGAAGAAGAAGAAGAAGAGAGGAGGAUAGCUGCGGCAAGGGUGCAGCGAGGAGGUGUGUGGCGUUGGGGAGGAAAAGGGAAGAGGAGAAGAAGAGAAGGAGAAGAAGAGGGAAAAGAGAGGGAAGAGGGAGAGGAGCGAGAGGUGGCAGCAGCUAGGGCUGCAGCACCUCUCUUUCCUGCAGGUGGAAACAGAGGAGAGGUGUGGGGUGUUCGAAGAGGAGAAGAAGAAGAAGAGGAAGAGAAGAAGAAGAGGAAGNNN
rnacentral:lncRNA from 1 species